rnacentral:rRNA from 1 species
GAUGAACGCUGGCGGCGUGCCUAAUACAUGCAAGUCGAGCGAACAGACGAUGCGCUUGCUCCUCUCACGUUUGCGGCGGACGGGUGUGUCACACGUGGAUACCCUCCCUAUAUGACUGGUAUCACUUCGGGACACCGGAGCUAAUCCCGGAUAAUAUAUUGCACCGCAUGGUUCAAUAGUGGAAGUCGGUUUUGCUGUCACUUCUCGAUGGUUCCGGGCCGCAUUAGCUAGUUGGUAAGGUAACGGCUUACCAAGGCAACGAUGCGUAGCCGACCUGUGAGGGGGAUAGGCGACACGGGAACUGAGACACGGACCAGGCUCCUACGGGAGGGCGCAGUAGGGAAUGGGCCGCAAUGGGGGGAAACCUGACGCAGCGACGGCGCGUGAGUGAUGGAAGUCCUCGGAUCGUGAAACUCUGUUAUGGGUGAAGAACAACUGUGUAAGGAAAUAUGCACGUCUUGACGGUAACUAAUAAGAAAGCAACGGCUAACUACGUG